rnacentral:rRNA from 1 species
CACGUAGGGCGCAAGCGUUGUCCGGAAUUAUUGGGCGUAAAGAGCUCGUAGGUGGUUUGUUACGUCUGCUGUGAAAACCUAGGGCUUAACCCUGGGCUUGCAGUGGAUACGGGCAGACUAGAGGUAGGUAGGGGAGAAUGGAAUUCCUGGUGUAGCGGUGAAAUGCGCAGAUAUCAGGAGGAACACCGGUGGCGAAGGCGGGUCUCUGGGCAGUAACUGACGCUGAGGAGCGAAAGCGUGGGGAGCAAACAGG